CUUUUAUACAAAGGUUUACAUUUGACUCAGCCUUUAUAUCAAAUUAUGUUUCUUGGGAGCGAUUAUAGAAUACCCGGCCACUUUUGAAUUUUGAUAGUGUUUGCUUUUGGGGGAUACGGGGAUACGCAGUCAUUAAAAUGACGUAAUUAUUUGAGUAGUUUAAAAGGAGAAUGGGUAACUAUUAUUUUUCAAUGAUACGGGGAUACGGGGAUACGCAGUCAUUAAAAUGACGUAAUUAUUGGAGUAGUUUAAGAGGAGAAUGGGUAACUAUUAUUUUUCAAUGAUACGGGGAUACGGGGAUAUGCAAUCAUUAAAAUGACGUAAUUAUUGGAGUAGUUUAAGAGGAGAAUCAUUAACUAUUAUUUUUCAAUGAUACGGGGAUACGGGGAUACGCAGUCAUUAAAAUGACGUAAUUAUUGGAGUAGUUUAAGAGGAGAAUGGGUAACUAUUAUUUUUCAAUGAUACGGGGAUACGCAGUCAUUAAAAUGACGUAAUUAUUGGAGUAGUUUAAGAGGAGAAUGGGUAACUAUUAUUUUUCAAUGAUACGGGGAUACGGGGAUACGCAAUCAUUAAAAUGACGUAAUUAUUGGAGUAGUUUAAGAGGAGAAUCAUUAACUAUUAUUUUUCAAUGAUACGGGGAUACGGGGAUACGCAGUCAUUAAAAUGACGUAAUUAUUGGAGUAGUUUAAGAGGAGAAUGGGUAACUAUUAUUUUUCAAUGAUACGGGGAUACGGGGAUACGCAGUCAUUAAAAUGACGUAAUUAUUUGAGUAGUUUAAAAGGAGAAUGGGUAACUAUUAUUUUUCAAUGAUACGGGGAUACGGGGAUACGCAGUCAUUAAAAUGACGUAAUUAUUGGAGUAGUUUAAGAGGAGAAUGUGUAACUAUUAUUUUUCAAUGAUACGGGGAUACGGGGAUACGUAGUCAUUAAAAAGACGUAAUUAUUCGAGUAGUUAAGAGGAGAAUGGGUAACUAUUAUUUUUCAAUGAUACGGGGAUACGGGAAUACGCAGUCAUUAAAAUGACGUAAUUAUUCGAGUAGUUUAAGAGGAGAAUGGGUAACUAUUAUUUUUCAAUGAUACGGGGAUACGCAGUCAUUAAAAUGACGUAAUUAUUUGAGUAGUUUAAAAGGAGAAUGGGUAACUAUUAUUUUUCAAUGAUACGGGGAUACGGGGAUACGCAGUCAUUAAAAUGACGUAUUAUUCGAGUAGUUUAAAAGGAGAAUGGGUAACUAUUAUUUUUCAAUGAUACGGGGAUACGCAGUCAUUAAAUUGACGUAAUUAUUUGAGUAGUUUAAAAGGAGAAUGGGUAACUAUUAUUUUUCAAUGAUACGGGGAUACGCAGUCAUUAAAAUGACGUAAUUAUUCGAGUAGUUUAAAAGGAGAUUUAUACUAAUGAGUAAUAUUUUGUGCAGGGUUUGGUGAGAACGUGAGAAAUACAAUAUAUGAGUAAUAUUUCGUGCGGGGUUUAUUGAGAACGAGAAAUACAAUAUAUGAGUAAUAUUUUGUGCGCGGUUUAGUUGAGAACGAGAAAUACAAUAUAUGAGUAAUAUUUUGUGCGGGGUUGAUUGAGAACGAGAAAUACAAUAUAUGAGUAACAUUUUGUGCGGGGUUUAUUGAGAACGAGAAAUACAAUAUAUGAGUAAUAUUUUGUGCGCGGUUUAGUUGAGAACGUGAGGAAUACAAUAUAUGAG
rnacentral:lncRNA from 1 species